GACGAACGCUGGCGGCGUGCUUAACACAUGCAAGUCGAACGGAAAGGCCGUGCUUUUGUGGGGUGCUCGAGUGGCGAACGGGUGAGUAACACGUGAGUAACCUGCCCUUGACUUUGGGAUAACUUCAGGAAACUGGGGCUAAUACCGGAUAGGAGCUCCUGCUGCAUGGUGGGUGUUGGAAAGUUUCGGCGGCUGGGGUUGGAGUUGCGGCUUCUCAGCUUGUUGGUGGGGUAGUGGCGUAGCAAGGCUUGGACGGCUAGCCGGACUGAGAGGGUGACAGGCCACAUUGGGACUGAGAUGCGACCCAGACGGAUACGGGAGGCAGGAGCGGAGGUUUGACCGCACUGCGCGGAAGGCGUGUACAACGACGCCGCGUCGGGGAUCUCGGCCGUAGGGUUGGAAAGCGCGUUAGCCUGUGACGAAGCGUGAGUGACGGUAACGGGUAAAGAAGCACCGGCUAACUACGUG
rnacentral:rRNA from 1 species